UACGAAGGGGGCUAGCGUUGUUCGGAAUUACUGGGCGUAAAGCGCACGUAGGCGGACAUUUAAGUCAGGGGUGAAAUCCCAGAGCUCAACUCUGGAACUGCCUUUGAUACUGGGUGUCUUGAGUAUGGAAGAGGUGAGUGGAAUUCCGAGUGUAGAGGUGAAAUUCGUAGAUAUUCGGAGGAACACCAGUGGCGAAGGCGACUUACUGGACACAUAUUGACGCUGAGGUGCGAAAGCGUGGGGAGCAAACAGG
rnacentral:rRNA from 1 species